UACACUCGCGAGUUUCACAACACAGUCAGCUGGGAAGAAAGCUCGUAAACUCGAUCGUUUUGAGUGGAGCGAGAAUAGGUUCUUGUCGAGCUCAGCGAAUUUUCUCUUCCUAUUUGAUCGUACCAGCGUAACUGACCAGACCUAAUUUUUCGUAUCGAAAUUAAAUUACGCGCUUAACCCAGGCUAAUAGUAUAAGUCCUAAAUAUUCAAAGAGCAAUCUCGAAAUAUUUAAGGCAUCCGUGGGAAUUUUAAAUAAAUCUUCGAAAAGAAUUGUUUUGAAAGUGGUCUAUAGUUCGGCCAGAACAGAUUUUGGUUCAAAGCAGGCGCUUUUAAAACAUUGCUGUGCCCAACAAAAACAUAGCGAAGGAAAAUAAAGAAAAAGACCAGAUCAGGGUCAAGUCAGGGGCAGAAGAACCCGUGGAAAGGGCCGAGCUCCCCGACGCAACUUUCUUUGGCAGACCAGCAGCCGCAGCAACGUUACAUAUGCGCAGUCUGAGUUUGUUCGAUUGACAUUAGCGGGAGAGCAGGGUUAACGACCGGAGCAGAACGUUUGGAAAACGGAAUACCGGAGACAAGCAGAAGAAGGCGAAGCAGCAGCAAUUAGUGAAUUAGUGAAAAUUUAGGGUUGAGUAAAAGAAAUUCGCAAUUACAUCAAAAAGAAGACAUGUAAACGAAUAGGCACGUUCAAGAUCACCAACACAUGUACAACCGGACAAAAGAAUAAAGUGUAAAGUAACUAAGACAUGCAAAGUGAGUGAAAAGGCAGAGUGAAAAUAACCCAGUGAAGCGAGACUUGUAAUGCUCUAUCACCCCAAACUAAUUACCUAAAAUCAAAAAAAAAAAAAUCAAACCGAUCUUCUAGAAGGCCUUCUACGAUAAAUCUGGGUGAGUCCAACAGACCGAAUAAAAACAACCAAUAAAAACCAAAAGAAAUUAACCAUGUAAAAGAAAGCGUGGAAACCGACAUACCCGUCUCUGUGAGAUAGAGUGUGCGAUCGAAAGAAGAGGUGAAGAAAGAGAGUUAACAGAGAUAACGAUGCAAUCCGCAAAGCACCUGCACCGAUUUUUUGCGUGUUUGUUUUGAUUUUGCGUUUGCUGACUUUCCUCGUUUUAUUGGUUUCACUUUGAUACAAGAAAACCUUAACCCCUUAUGAUAUAUUUGCAUUGAAUUGAUUUUUCUAU